UUCUGCCCCCUCUCUGACUGCAGUGGCAGAUUUCUGGCACAUGCAGAGUGGCACACGAGCCUGGCUUUUGCAGCGCAGUUCUGCAAUUCCUGCACCCCUGAGUGCCAAGUGGUCAGGUGGCAUGUGGACAUUAUCCUCCCCAGAUUGAAAGCUGGGCCUCCAUGGCUGCAAGGGUUGUGUGGCUGAGUGUCUCUGCCCCAGAGUCUACUUGAGCCCACUCUGGCCAAACCCCUGCACCUUCCACUGUCGUCCCUGCCAUGGCAGUUCCCAGACACAAGUCCGGCUGCAUCCUGGAUGCUCUGAGGCCUUGAGGAUGGCAUUUAACACGUACAGGGACAAGGAAAUCUUUAUUUUUGGAAGGAGAAAGGUGAACCAAGCUUCCUGGCCAACUUGGUAGAGAAGUUCUAGGCCUGGAGUGAGCUGUCUGCCUGGGGCUGUCAGGUCUAGAUACCUGGCGGCCAGGGACGGCCCUCGGCCGGCCAUGUGUGGACCCUCUCUCUGACCUGCAGCCUCAGAGCUACUCCAGGAAAAGGCCACACGUGGGAGAGGCCAUGGGUGUGGGCCCACCUGCACCUGUGCCUACUGUCACCUGCUUGAAGCGGCAUGUAGAGGACACAGGUGGGGAAUCAGAAGGGACACACAGAAAGGGCCUUCCAGGGGACGGGAGGGAAGCCUGACCUGCUGAACCAGGAAGUCUGGAGGGCCCGUGAGAAUGACGGUAUGAGGCAACCUAGGCAACCAAGGAACAACAGAAAGAGAUGGUUAAUAACCAAUAGAAAAGGACAAUACUGCCCGGAGGCGCAGAGAGAGGCCGGUGGAAGACUUGCAGCCGAUUUCAAACGAGGUGGGGAAGAGAGAGAGGCUAUUCACACCUCGGCUGUCCUGCCUCUCACCUCAUCUCCAUCAAGAGAGGGACCCGCUUCCAGCUCUCUCUGGAAGGGCUCUAAGCUGUCACUUUGUUC